CAUGACCUGAAGCAGUGAUUGAGCACCUGGUGGGAAGGCUGGGCCAACCUAGGUGUGCUCAGCUGCAUGCAGUGUGCCUGAGUGACCGGAAGGGAUAGAAUCAGGAUCUACCCCUUCCCAAAUAUCAUUUAAGGGCUGGCAGAGGAAGUGAGGAUGUUUUGUUGAAGAUUCCUGUCUAACUGAGGUCUUCCAAGGGUUACAAUGAAGAACAGUUUCAGGAAAGAAACAAACACCAAAAACACUAGAAAUCCAACCAGCAAUAGAAAGCAGGAAUUUGCAGUAAGAGCAUUCACUGUGUUCCAUGAUGGGAUCCCAACCAAGCCAGAGCACUGAAGUAGAACUUGGCGUUUUCCUUAUUCUAAAGGCACCAAGAGACACCAGAGAGCUUUUUAUAUUUAAUGACAUUUUACUACAAAACAGUGUGCAUAAUGUAACUUUUUAGUUAAAGAAAAAUUGGUUUUGCUGUGUAGGUACAGGUUCUGAAUAUUAUUUCACUCCUCUACUUUGGCCCUGUAAUCAGAGAAGUAGCUUUCAAACUUGCUCUCAUUUGUAAAGUGUUAAGGGCUUCCUAGGUUUUAGGUUUGGCUCAGGGCUGCUCUCCUGCCACCUUAGGAAAUUUGUCUUUCACAAUGGUGCUCUCCUUGCCUGUCUGGGGUCAAAUAUCACCCACUGUUCCCCAGGAAAGAUGCAGUCUCCUUCCACCAACUAGUAGCUGUACCCGACCCAGUGUGCAGCAGCAAGAGCAUAGCAGAGGCAGCCCUUAUCCUUGCUUUUAGUCAAAUACAACUUGAAGUUGGAUGCAGGUCCAUCAGGUGAUUGAUUAUCUAGAUUAAAAGAGGCAAGCAAGACAUUUGAACUAGCUAGGCAUGCAGGUACUAGCCCACCUGCCAGUUAACUGAUGUGUGGUGAGCCUAAAAAAGCAAAAAUAGGGCAAGCUUAAAAUUUACACAACAUUUUGAAUUGGAGUUACUUCCAGUCCAUAUCCUUUGUCAGCCAAUGAUAUCACACUAUCUAGAGAAUUUCCUGCUGGGAAAUUUUUUAAUUUCAUGCAGAAAUUUGAGCAUGAGGUGGCACAAAGAACAGCUUUUCCUAACAAAAGUGCAUUGUUGAAAUCAUUUAAAAAUGAAAGUUCCCAUACAUGCAUCAUGGUAUGUUUGUUUCACAUACAACUAAUUCAGUCUUGAUGUUCAAGGAAUAACUUGCUCAUGGCUAAAGGAGUCUGUCAGACUACUUCUAUUGGCAGCUUUCAGAUGUCCCCAUCACUGGAAAAAACUUAGUAACUUAGUUUUUGAGAUCACCUUUUUUUGUGUAUGUUAGAACUUACAGUGGCAAACAAAAUUGAAGUAUUUGUGUAUGGAUAAUGGUUUUAAUGUUUCAGCCUUGAUAGUUAAUCUGAAAGAAAACCAGAUGACAUGCAUAAUACUCAUAAAAUGAUAUGCUUGUACACCAGUUCUUUCUAGAGUGAGUUUGUUCAGUUCUGAAAUAUACUUUAAGUUAGACUGAAACAAAAGACCUUUUUUGUGCUCCUUUGUCUCUCAUUCCUAAAAGCAGCAUUUUGAAAGAAACAAACGUGAAAUGGUCUUUCAAAUUGCAGUCAUGCCUCACUGAUUUUUGUGCUCAAAACUGCGUUCCCUUGUACUGCAUCUGGCCUUUACUGUGGAUGUCUGCUUUUGCUCCUGCAGACAGUAUCAGCCAGGCAGAAUAAUGUUCCAUUUUAUAAUCUGCAAAUGUUGGAACACAAUGCUAUAUAUUCCAUAAUUGAAAUUGUUGCCAUGUCCUGUGUAUCUUGCAACAUUUUUGUACAUGCAGUCAUUGUUAUCCAUUUUCUGUAAAAUAUUAUCCACAGAGGUUUAGAAAUUUUCAUUAUGUUUGCUGUAAAUGUCAGGUAAAUAAUAUUUUAUGUCUUCUUUUAAGUUUAAGUAUCUUGCAACUAACGGAAAACACUUUGUAGACCACUUGCUAAAUGAGUCUGUAGCAGACAAAUAGUACAGAUGAUUCAUUUUUAUAUGGAGUGAUGAUAUUAAGAGUUACAAGCUAAUGUAUCUUUAGCUAAUGCUUCUUCUUUUGUCUUUGGCACAUGAAACAUUAUUUCAUGCAUAUUUUUCAAUCUGUAAAGCACCUCAAUGUGUAUUUGGACUGAGUUAAUUUCUGCUGAGUAAGUGAAAUGCAGCCUUCUACGUACAAGUUUCUUGAAAGGCAAUGAAGAUAUAUUGUAAAUUAAAAAUUUGGAGAUGAAAAACACUUAGGUUUAUGAUUUUUCCCCCAUUCAUCAAUCCAAGAGCUUUACAGGUAGGCUAUUUUUUCAGAAGAGAAAAAUAGUACUAGAUAACUGAGAAUGGCCAUUAGAUGUACAAUCUCAGGAGAGAUACAGCAAUAUGUUUUUCUUUUCUGGAGUAGAUAGUCAGAGUCAAUCAGAUGUAAGACAAGUCUCGCUCACUUUUGCAAGCUAAAUUGCUAUACAAAUGACCUAUGAAAUGUCCCUGUGAAGAUUUUGCAUCAUAGCAGGGCUAAAGCAUUCAGGUUUUGAUUCUACUGUAAUUUCUCCUUUCCUGAGCUCUGAAACAAUUUAAACUUUCUCUUGCUAUGCUCUUUGUGAUACUGGCAUUUGUUAAAUGAACUACUGCUAUUUGAUGAAUGAUAAAAUCCUUCCUUAUUUUCAGUUUUUAUAAUUGCCAAUAGAGUAUUUCAAAUAUGUUAUGUACAAGUGGGGACAGUGCUGGGAAAGGCAAUUGCAUGUAUGAAUAUGGUUUCAAAAGCUAAGAAAAAAAAAGUAUAAUGUAACAUGAGACAACCAGCUUGAAAUCAAGGUUCACAAAUUCCAACAGGGGCAUUCGACUCCUAUGCAGAUCUCCCUUUUCUCUCUCUCUCUCUCUCACACACGCAAUUCAGAUAGGAGCAUAGAACUCUUAUAUAGGUCUUCCUCUUGUCUUGUAUCCUUUUCUAUUUAUUUGACAUCUGAUUAGUUUUGCAACAAAAAUUGUACUAUGUAGACUGAAUCUUGUUAAAAAUCCCAUCCUACUUAGGAACAGUAGAUAAAUAAAUUUCAU